ACAGAUUUAAGUUAAUUUAAACUAUUGAUCUUCAAAAUCAAAAAUUUUAUUCUGUA
rnacentral:tRNA from 1 species